rnacentral:sRNA from 1 species
UGCAUCUGAAGCCUGACGAGGAUGAGAACCUCCGGGGGCAAGAGGUUCGACUCGAGCGCAGCGAGAGAACGUUGCGUCAGCAACGGCCCGCAGGGCGAGCCACGCAGU